UACGUAGGUGGCAAGCGUUGUCCGGAAUUAUUGGGCGUAAAGCGCGCGCAGGCGGUCCUUUAAGUCUGAUGUGAAAGCCCACGGCUCAACCGUGGAGGGUCAUUGGAAACUGGGGGACUUGAGUGCAGGAGAGAAGAGUGGAAUUCCACGUGUAGCAGUGAAAUGCGUAGAUAUCGGGAGGAACACCAGUGGCGAAGGCGGUUGCCUGGAGCUUUGCUGACGCUGAUGCGCGAAAGCGUGGGGAGCGAUCCGG
rnacentral:rRNA from 1 species